GACGUAGGGGGCCAGCGUUGUUCGGAAUUACUGGGUGUAAAGGGUUCGUAGGCGGUGUGGCAAGUCGGGAGUGAAAUCUCUGGGCUCAACUCAGAGACUGCUUCCGAAACUGCUGUGCUGGAGUGUGGGAGAGGCGCGUGGAAUUGCAGGUGUAGCGGUGAAAUGUGUAGAUAUCUGCAGGAACACCCGUGGCGAAAGCGGCGCGCUGGACCACUACUGACGCUGAGGAACGAAAGCUAGGGGAGCAAACAGG
rnacentral:rRNA from 1 species